CUUUUUAACCUUUCGUUUCAACUCUCUGAAAUCCCUAACCUGAGCGUUUCUAUCUUGGAGCCCCUACAUCUUCUCUUCACUUUUAUUCUUCCUUUCCGUUUUACUCUCAGCGUCGUUUCAGAGCCCUGGGUUGGAAAAUAAAGUCCCAGAAUCACACUUUACAAGUGCGUUGGCAAAUAGAAGAUGGAGCUUCAGCCUUCCCAUGUUCCUCGAGCUUGCUCUUGCUGCCAAGGGGCUAAAGAGACGUCCAACAAUUAGGUUUUGCUUGCCACUUGGUUUCCUCCUUCGUUUUCAUAUUUGUGUUAUGAAUUCAGAGUUCAAUUUCAUCAUUCAUCUUUUAGGUCGAUAGCACUAUCAGCAGCAGCUCAAUGAAGGAUGACUUCAAGCCUAGGAAUGUAAAAUCAGGGCAUUGCUGGUGGAAGCCUUCCAGUAACAAAAAUUAGAGAAAUUUUGUUUUAGAUUUCAGUGCUUGGACAAGUGAAUAUACACCUGCAUAUGGGUUUGUGAUUGACACCAAGAUAAUGGGAGAUGUUGUUGGUGUUUAUAUUUCCAACAAAUAUUUUGUGGUUCUUCCCUCACUGAAUUUUCUUCUUCGCAAGUGUUAUCUCUUCUCUCUGAAAUCGCAACUUACACAAGUAUCUAUAGAAAGAAGCUACCUACAGUUUCCUAUGUCAAAGAAGCUAACCUAUAUCUGCAAAUGGGCGCACAAUAUUUUCAUGGUGUCAUCCAAAGCUCAGUCUGGAGCAUCAUAUUCGAACUGGCUGUGAUUUUGUGUGUUAUAUAUAGUUUCUGGGGAUUAGGCCAUCAAUGAUCCCUUAUUGAGAUUUAUCUUUAAAUUCCCCUUUUUCUGACAAAAUCGGAUAUGCAUCAGCUGCGACAGAGUCUUGGAAGCUAGUGGCAUGGAUCCAUGCUUGCUUGAGAUUGCUUUUCUUGAUGAGAAUGUCAGUUAUCCAAGAUUUUUUAUAUUUGGCAUUUGGACAAAUAUGCGGUUGUCUACUAUGUUUAUUGACGCAAACAGGCUUGCUGCGCGUUUUGAUGAAGAUGUUGCGCGUGUUUCCGUCUAAUGCAGGAGCAAUUAAUUAGGAAGUUAUUAUUUUUAGUAUUUUUAAAUCAAUUUAGGAUUUAUUAUGUUUUUUUAAUUAAGUUAGAAUCUUUAUGAUCUUACUUAUUUUUUGUUAGGAACUUAUUUAUUUUCAAUUAGGAUCUUUUAUUUUUAAUUAGGAUCUUUUAGGAUAUUAUUUAUUUUUCUGUUAGGAUAUUUUCUUUUCCUAUUUAAGGACUUGUAAGGCAUAGCCUAUUUCAGUUUAUUAUUG